rnacentral:lncRNA from 1 species
CACCGUCUCCUCUGGGAAUGGAAGGGAAUGUAAAUGAUUUUGGAACCAGAAUCUGAGAAUUCAGGUCUAAGAUAGGCAGCAAAGGAAGCUCAGCCCCACCUUCAAUAAACUCCAGGUUAAAAUGUCUUGGGCAGCUGCCCCCUACCUG